rnacentral:rRNA from 1 species
AGCAGCCGCGGUAAUUCCAGCUCCAAUAGCGUAUAUUAAAGUUGUUGCAGUUAAAAAGCUCGUAGUUGAAUUUCGGGGUCAGUAGAUUGGUCAUGCCACUGGUAUGUACUGGUCUCACUGAUUCCUCCUUCCUGAUGAGCCGUAAUGCCAUUAAUUUGGUGUUGCGAGGAAUCUGGACUGUUACUUUAGAAAAAAUUAGAGUGUUUAAAGCAGGCUAACGCUUGAAUACAUUAGCAUGGAAUAAUGAAAUAGGACGUUCGAUCUUAUUUUGUUGGUUUCUAAGAUUGACGUAAUGAUUAAUAGGGAUAGUUGGGGGCAUUAGUAUUCAAUUGUCAGAGGUGAAAUUCUUGGAUUUAUUGAAGACUAACUACUGCGAAAGCAUUUGCCAAGGAUGUUUUCAUUAAUCAAGAACGAAAGUUAGGGGAUCGAAGACGAUCAGAUACCGUCGUAGUCUUAACCAUAAACUAUGCCGACUAGGGAUCGGAUGAUGUUAAUUUUUUAAUGACUCU